CCUACGGGAGGCAGCAGUGAGGAAUAUUGGUCAAUGGACGAGAGUCUGAACCAGCCAAGUAGCGUGAAGGAUGACUGCCCUAUGGGUUGUAAACUUCUUUUAUAUGGGAAUAAAAUGUUCCACGUGUGGGAUUUUGUAUGUACCAUAUGAAUAAGGAUCGGCUAACUCCGUGCCAGCCGCCGCGGUAAUACGGAGGAUCCGAGUGUUAUCCGGAUUUAUUGGGUUUAAAGGGAGCGUAGGUGGAUUGUUAAGUCAGUUGUGAAAGUUUGCGGCUCAACCGUAAAAUUGCAGUUGAAACUGGCAGUCUUGAGUACAGUAGAGGUGGGCGGAAGUCGUGGUGUAGCGGUGAAAUGCUUAGAUAUCACGAAGAACUCCGAUUGCGAAGGCAGCUCACUGGACUGCAACUGACACUGAGGCUCGAAAGUGUGGGUAUCAAACAGGAUUAGAUACCCGGGUAGUC
rnacentral:rRNA from 1 species